rnacentral:rRNA from 1 species
AUGGCCAAAUAUUGGUGGGGGAGUUCCAUUGACAAAAGAUCCGUACAUUGGUUGGCGUGGGAUAAGUUGACAGAGCCAAAAAUCAAAGGAGGUCUAGACUUUCGGGAUCCCCAAAUGUUCAAUCUAGCAAUGCUUGGAAAGCAAGGCUGGCGCAUACUGACCAAACCAGAUUCUUUGUGCUCUAGAGUGUUGAAGGGAAAGUACUUCCCACACCCAAAUUUUCUCCAAGCCUCGGUGCCUAGGGGAGCAUCCUCUACCUGGAAAGCUAUCAUUGCAGGCAGAACGGCGUUGGAGAGGGGCCUGAUCCACCGAAUAGGAGAUGGAUCAUCUAUAUCCAUUUGGGAUGAUCCUUGGAUCCCAAAUGUAGUCACAAUGAAACCGACUGGUAGGUUAGGGGUGGCGCCCCUACACACUGUCUCAGAGCUGAUAGAUGACUACACUGGGAGUUGGAAUGUCAGUUUGGUCCGCCAAAUUUUUCUUCAUCCCGAUGCUGAGGCCAUUCUUAAUAUACCCUUGAACAGAUCUGGUGGGGAAGAUAGUUUGGCGUGGUCGUUGGAAAAGUCGGGUAACUACACUGUAAAAUCAGCGUAUCGCUCUCUCAUGACUCGGAACGAGCUUAGUUCUCUAGAGGAAGGGACGAUUACGGACACUUCAUCAGCAAAUAAACAGCUGUGGACCGCACUUUGGAAAUUACGGGUGGUGCCGAAGGUUAGGGUUUUCUGGUGGAGGGUUUUGCGUGGUAUCCUGCCAGACUACAUGACUCUACAGCACCGUCACAUCAAGCCACUUGGCCGCUGCGAUCUUUGCAAGGCCAUGAAUGAAGACUUAAUGCAUGCACUCAUCUCAUGCUCACAUGCUGUAACGCCCUCGAUGCGGCUAUAG